rnacentral:rRNA from 1 species
AUUGAACGCUGGCGGCAGGCCUAACACAUGCAAGUCGAACGGAAGAACGGAGCUUGCUCCUGGAUACAGCGGCGGAGGGGCGAGUAAUGCCUGUGAACCUCCCUGGUAGUGGGGGAUAACGUCCGGAAAUGGGGGCAAUUACCGCAAACGAUCUUAGGGACAAGGUGGGGGAUCGUCGGAUCUCGCGCUCUUAGAUGAACCUAGGUCGGAUCAGCUAGUUGGUGGGGUAAAGGCCUACCAAGGCGACGAUCCGUAACUGGUCUGAGAGGAUGAACAGUCACACUGGAACUGAGACACGGUCCAGACUCCUACGGGAGGCAGCAGUGGGGAAUAUUGGACAAUGGGCGAAAGCCUGAUCCAGCCAUGCCGCGUGGGUGAAGAAGGUCUUCGGGUUGUAAAGCACUUUUAGUGGGGAAGAAGGGCAGCAGGUUAAUACCUUGCUGUUGUGACGUUACCAACAGAAUAAGCACCGGCUAACUUCGUG